GCUCACCCGCAGGCAUCAGGUGGCCCGGACAGAGGCAACUGUGCCCACAGACAUGGGCAGUAGCCUCGCCGUCCUCUUCCCCAGCCUCUGCCUCAUCCCAGAAAGCUCCUUGCUCCCAGCUCUGCCCUGCUGGUGACAGGGUUCCCGAGUGACCCUGCUCCACACAGCCCUCACGGUGUCCCCCACCAACCCAGGGCACUGGUGAAGGCUCGGGGGACACGUCCAUUUGUGAUCUCCCGCUCGACCUUUGCUGGCCACGGCCGAUAUGCCGGCCACUGGACGGGGGACGUGUGGAGCUCCUGGGAGCAGCUUGCCUCCUCCGUGCCAGAAAUCCUGCAGUUUAACCUGCUGGGGGUGCCUCUGGUCGGGGCCGACGUCUGCGGCUUCCUGGGCAACACCUCAGAGGAGCUGUGUGUGCGCUGGACCCAGCUGGGGGCCUUCUACCCCUUCAUGCGGAACCACAACGGCCUGUUCAAUCUGCCCCAGGAGCCAUACAGCUUCAGCGAGCCAGCCCAGCAGGCGAUGAGGAAGGCC
rnacentral:sRNA from 1 species